rnacentral:tRNA from 1 species
GCCGGGGUGGCGAAAUUGGCAGACGCAGCGGACUCAAAAUCCGCCGGUGGUGACACCAUAGGGGUUCGACCCCCCUCCCCGGUACCA